rnacentral:tRNA from 1 species
CGGGGUGUAGCGCAGCCCGGUUAGCGCAUCUGCUUUGGGAGCAGAGGGUCGCUGGUUCGAAUCCAGUCUCCCCGA